UAAAAUUUUAUGUAACACAACCACACUCAUUUUUUUUGUUUGUUUUGCAUGUUGUGUAUGACUGCUGUCACACUGUAACUGCAGGAUUGUGAUAGUCUGGGUGUGGUCUGCAAAGUCACAAAUAUUUUCUAUCAGGUCCUUCACAGAGAAAGUUUUAGAUGCUAGUUUAGAUACUAAUAAUGAACUUCAUCCCCUAUCUCAUAAAUAAGAAAUGGACACUCCAAGGCAAUGUUAGGAGACAGAAUUCUGGUAUGAGAGGAAUAGUUGAACGCCAAACACACAGCUCAAAGAAUGAAAAAGGAUCUGUGUCCUCAUGAACAUUUUCUGGUAUGCUAUCCAGUCCACUUGCUAACCAUAUGACUCACCAUCUCCAAGCUCUGCUAUCCUCAAAUGUAAUUGAGGAUGAUAAUAUUUGCUUCAUGAUGUUGUGAUGAUUAAUGAAAUAUUACUCGUAAAAUGCUCAUGUCUGUAUUCCAUAGAAUAAAUGCUCAAUAACUUAUUAUCUCUUCUUUCUCAAAGUCUUUUCAGAGACCAGAAAGAAAACUUUCCUAGGGAGAUAGAUAAAGGAAUUUUAAUUAGUCAAUUUUGACUUAGAGAUGAACUCUUUUGUAGUAUGCUUUCUCCAGAUGUCAAAACCUUGGCUUCCCAAGUCCUGCUUUAAGAUUCAUACUGGCCAAUGGAUAAGUGUUAACAUAUCCUUCACUCUUCAGUCAAGCAGGAAAGGAGUUAUGUUGCAGAACAAUUUGUCCUAAAACAUAUCAUCAGUUUUAAAUAUGACCCAUUUAAAUCCAUAAGGAUUUCAUAGUUUAAAUAUCAUUGAAUUUUACAUCUCCAAAAAAAUUGAAUAAACAUUCAGAAACUCCCUCCAUUGCAUUCUGCAAAUUAAAAAAAAAAACAAUGAGACCCAAAGACAAUGAUUGCUUUUGUUCAUAGAUAGUUAGGGAGUUGGGGUCAUCACUGGACCAGUAUAACAUAUUCUUAGGCUAGCAUUCACUCUCCUAUCUCUGACUCUGCUAUUACUAAUGCAGCAAAAUUCUGAAGACUUUUGUUCUCUUUGUUUUCAAUAAUUUUGUCGUUGUUUUGACAAAUUACCCCUGAGAUUCAUGAGGAUAUUAUUUAGAAGCAUACAAUUAUGUCUUGAUUGCUGUUUGUUUGUUUGUUUGAAUCCAAUAAUGCUUUUUAGUCUCAAAAUUCAAAUUUUCCCUUUCAAUUGGUUUAGCUCAUAAUUGACAGCAAUUAUUUAUUUUUAUUCAGAGAAACUAAAAUAAAAGAUGUGAUUAAAUUCUCUACUGCAAUGACAUGGUAUUUAUUUGAUCAUUUCCAAGUAUUUUGUUUUUCUUUUUUACAUGAGAUUCUUAUUGGGGUGCUAUGAGGAUUAGUGAUAAACUAUAUUACAGGAGGGCUGAGGAGGAAAUUACCAUGCAAGUAUAAAAUGUAAUAGUUUUGUGUUUGGAUGCUUGGUAAUUGAGUUAGUUUUUACAAGUUUCUCAGAAGACUGAAACAUUCAACUUAGCCUUCUUGUGGGCCUUUGGUUAAUCUCACUAAUCUCUAUGGUCACAAAGCAUUGACCUUCAAGUAUGGGCCUAGCUAUCUUGGAGACAUAUUUUGUACCCAAAGGGUCAUAAGUACAAUCACUUUUCAGGGUAUGCAUACUACUAAAGGAAAUGAGCAGGGUGCAGUUUUACAUUCUCACCUGAUAACUUUAUUCCACUAGUUAGUCAGGAGCAUAUUAUAUGCAGAUCCAGCAUAGCUUCUAGAGUCAGAUAGCCUGGGUUCUAAGCCCAGCCACCACUUAGCUAGAUUAGUGGCAGUGAAUAAAUCAUCAAUCUAGGGGAAAUUUCUCUCAUCCAUAAGUCAUUAACUACCUCAGAGAUUUAGUUAUCAGGAUAUUGGAUAGAAAACACAUGUAAAGCACUUAGCCAGUCCCUACCAUUCAGAAAAUGUUAGUUAUAAUAAUGAUUAUGAUAAUUAUCAAUAUUACUUUUAUUAAUGAUAAGUCCACUUUUGCCAUUUCUUUUAUCAUCAAAUCAUACAAUGUGGAAAAAUCUUUAGAUCCAAGCCGACAUUCAGUGAGCAGAUGUGUACCACUGGGAUGGAUAUUUGGAGAAAUACCACAAAUACAAAAAUGAUGAAACAUCCCAUCCAAGACAGGUCAACUUAUCAUUGCAAAAGAGCCUUCUGUAGCGCUCGAGACAUAUCUGAAAACCUCUGGUUAUGGGAAAAUUACAAGUUCCUGACCCAGCAUAAUUCACUAUUGAACAGGUUUUCUCUAAAUUUUCAAGCCCAGUUAACCUGAGUGGUCACGACAACAGCAGCAUCAGCAAAGAAACAAAAAUAAAAAUAAACAAUAAUCUGUUAUGCCGAAGUUUAUGUUUGUUCCCGUUAUUCUCAAUGCAUAACACACCACCCCAAACACAGUGAUCUAGAGCAAUAUUUAUUUUGCUCAUGAAUUCUUUGGUUUGGGAAUUAGGAAAGAACACAAAAGAGAUGUUUUUUUUUUAUUAUUAUGUUUUUCUUUUCACAAUGUUUUGGAACUCAACCAGGAGGACUUAAUGGCUGGAGGUAGAUUAAUGACUGCAGGCUGGAGUCAUCUGAAAGUUCACCCACUCAAAUGUUGGGUAAUUGGUAUUCACUGUUGGCUGGGAUUUGAACUGAGCCUCUUGGUUGGAACACCUGCAUGUGGUUCCACCACAUGGCUAUUUGAGCUUCAUCCCCGCAUGGCAGCUGAAUUCUAAGAGAAUAAAUUCUAAGAAAAUCUGAUGAAAGCUCUAUCACCUUUUAUGACCUCACCUUGAAAAUCUCAUAAUAUGAUUUCUGCUGUCAUCAAAGCCCACCCAGCAUGGAGCAUGGAUCCUACAUCUUGAUGGAAGAAUACCCAAGUUACAUUUUAAGAAAAGCAGGUGUGAUGAAAGGUUUUCUCAAAUGAGGAAUGUGGUUCAUCUCACAGCACACCCCAAGUCCCUCUUCUGAAAUAUAUGGAACCUACUUUCUAACUUGGUAAUGAUCUCACAGUUUGUGAGUUCGAGCCCUGCAUCAGGCACUGUGCUCAAAGCACAGAGACU